rnacentral:lncRNA from 1 species
GGAACUUUAAGGCCAGUCUGGAUGCCCAGGAUGGGGAUGGGUUGAGCCCGCUGAUCCUAGGAGCCCACAUGAGCAGAGUGGAGCUGUGUGCUUUCCUGUUGGACAGAGGGGCCAACCCCAACAUACAGGACAACCAGGGCAGGUCAGCCCUGAUGCUGGCCUGUGAGAGUGACAGUGCAGAGACAGUGGAGGUGUUGCUAAGGGGGGGGCUAACCCACAGCUGGCCGACGCCUUCAGACACGACGCAGCCCACUACGGCGUAACCGCCGGCAACCAGCGGAUCGCACAGCUUCUGCAGAACUGUCUUCCAGCCACUGAGGGCAACGGCGAGGAGGUAACUGACCACUCAGCUUUCCAUUUUCACUCACUACACAUUCAGUACAUGUGAAAACACAACUAUUUCUAGAUUGUACAUAAUAGAAUUUACAACAUAAGAAGGAACACCAACUUCUUAUCCCAUUUUCAAUCUACAACAUCUUUUGAACAACAACAGCUGAAGUAACAUCACACAUUAAAAGCUAAUUUCACAACGUUUUGGGCUACAGUACUGCCUG